rnacentral:rRNA from 1 species
GUAGGUGGCAAGCGUUGUCCGGAAGUUAUUGGGCGGUAAGACGCGCGCAGGCGGUUCUUUAAGUCUGAUGUGAAGACCCACGGCGUCAACCGUGGAGGGUCGAUUGGAAACUAGGAGGAACUUGAGGUACAGAAGAGGAAAGCGGAAUUCCACGUGUAGCGGUGAAAUGCGUAGAGAUGUGGAGGAACACCAGUGGCGAAGGCGGCUUUCUGGUCUGUAACUGACGCUGAGGCGCGAAAGCGUGGGGAGCAAACAGGAUUAGAUACCCUGGUAGUCCACGCCGUAAACGAUGAGUGCUAAGUGUUAGGGGGUUUCCGCCCCUUAGUGCUGCAGCUAACGCAUUAAGCACUCCGCCUGGGGAGUACGGCCGCAAAGGCUG